rnacentral:rRNA from 1 species
UAAGGAGUCGGACCUGCCCAGUGAAAAUUUUUAACGGCCGCGGUACUCUGACCGUGCAAAGGUAGCAUAAUCAUUUGCCUUAUAAUUGGAGGCUAGUAUGAAUGGUUUGACAAGAAUAUAACUGUCUCUUUCUAAUUUGCUAAAAUUUUAUUUUAGGGUGAAGAAGCCCUAAUUUAAUUAAAAGACAAGAAGACCCUGUCGAGCUUUAAAAGAGUUAAUAGAAGUUAUUUAAAUAAAAUUAAAAAAAUCACUAUUAAAAAUUUUGGUUGGGGCGACUAAGGAACAAAUAAAGCUUCCUUUAUUAUAAUGAAUAUAUAUAAAUUUUGAUCCAAAGUUUUUGAUUAAAAAAAUUAGUUACCGCAGGGAUAACAGCAUUAUCUUUUUUAAGAGUUCUAAUCGAAAAAAAGGUUUGUGACCUCGAUGUUGGACCAGAAUAUCCUAGAGAUGCAGAAGUCUUUAAAGGUUGGUCUGUUCGACCAUU